rnacentral:rRNA from 1 species
CCUACGGGUGGCUGCAGUGGGGAAUAUUGGACAAUGGGCGAAAGCCUGAUCCAGCCAUGCCGCGUGUGUGAAGAAGGCCUUCGGGUUGUAAAGCACUUUCAGUGGGGAAGAAAGCCUUGGGGCUAAUACCCUCGAGGAAGGACAUCACCCACAGAAGGAGCACCGGCUAACUCCGUGCCAGCAGCCGCGGUAAUACGGAGGGUGCGAGCGUUAAUCGGAAUUACUGGGCGUAAAGCGCGCGUAGGCGGUCUGAUAAGCCGGUUGUGAAAGCCCCGGGCUCAACCUGGGAACGGCAUCCGGAACUGUCAGGCUAGAGUGCAGGAGAGGAAGGUAGAAUUCCCGGUGUAGCGGUGAAAUGCGUAGAGAUCGGGAGGAAUACCAGUGGCGAAGGCGGCCUUCUGGACUGACACUGACGCUGAGGUGCGAAAGCGUGGGUAGCAAACAGGAUUAGAUACCCGGGUAGUC